UGAGCAGCUGAGGCAGUGACUGAAGGUGACGCGUUAAGCUUAAAAAGUUUACUCGAGCGCCUUUAUGUUUCUUUCUUACCAAUUUUAAGCCAACUGAGGAACACCCUUAUCCCAAGUAAUGGUUCGACUACGAUGUUCCGGUAACCACGCCGGGUGUUGAAUAGGUGGCCAGUUUCAGAUGCAUUGAUGUUUAGUGAUGCAGUGGACAACUGUGAGGAUGAUACAAUCAACAUGUUCCUAAACUGUGAUGCAGAAACACAAUGGGAGGAUCCAUCCGUCUCUGACCAGAACUACACUUUAAAAUCACAACUCAACCUGAAGCAACCUACAUCUGAUAUGGGAAAACAAUGGUGCGGUUUCCCGGACAGGGCUUAUCCUGGUCCCAGGCUAAAAUGCAUAUUUGAGCUACAAUAAUUUCAAAACACCUUUUACUGACAUACCUCAACAUAUAUGAGUGCCAUUGUUUUGUCACAAGAUGCGCACCAGUCUUGUUUUUUGUAGGGUUUGUUUGUAAAAACUAAAAUGUCCUAAUAUAAUUAAAUCCUAGUCCUGUAAACCCUGUCAGAGAAACUGCUUCAAUGUGUUGAGCUGGCACAAAUGUACAUAUCUCUGCUGAGAAACAACCAUCUUUGGUUCAGCUUUACAGAGGGUUGAUAUUGCAUCCAUUACACAGUCACCAAGCACUUUACCAGUACAUACACCAACAGCUUCCAGAUAAACACUUGGGAUCAGCUCCUGAUGACUCCGAUAAAGCUGUGUCUUAAUUUAUUGCAGGGUGGUCUUGCUUUACCUGUUGUAAAGUUACAUUAAACCUUCAUAUGUGAUCAGAUGUCAUGCAGUGAUAUUAAACAUUUACAGUGUGAUCAGAUGUUGUGCAUUUAUAUUAAACCUUUACAAUGUGA